GACCAGACUCCUACGGGAGGCAGCAGUGAGGAAUAUUGGUCAAUGGGCGGGAGCCUGAACCAGCCAUGCCGCGUGAAGGCGAGUGCCCUACGGGCGUUAAACUUCUUUUGUGCGGGAGCAAUAAGGGCCACGUGUGGCCCGAUGAGAGUACCGCACGAAUAAGCAUCGGCUAACUCCGUGCCAGCAGCCGCGGUAAUACGGGGGAUGCGAGCGUUAUCCGGAUUUAUUGGGUUUAAAGGGUGCGUAGGCGGGACGGUAAGUCAGCGGUAAAAAUGCGGAGCUCAACUCCGUCGAGCCGUUGAAACUGCCGUUCUUGAGUGAGCGAGAAGUAUGCGGAAUGCGUGGUGUAGCGGUGAAAUGCAUAGAUAUCACGCAGAACUCCGAUUGCGAAGGCAGCAUACCGGCGCUCAACUGACGCUCAUGCACGAAAGUGUGGGUAUCGAACAGGAUUAGAUACCCUUGUAU
rnacentral:rRNA from 1 species